rnacentral:lncRNA from 1 species
CCAAAGUUCGUUUUAUUUAGCAUUUGGGAUCACUGAGGAAGAACUCGUUUUACAUAUUCCCAACUCCCAGUCUGAAGAUGCUGUGGUCCUUCUAGAAUUAUGGUUCAACUAUAAAGAAGGGUGAGCCAGAUCAAGAGAGACUGUCAGCCAGAGAAGGGACUUGUGGCAGGGCUGGAGAUCAAGGAGAGUGACAGAGGAUGUAGCAUCUGGUGGAAAUUGUUAGUGGUCAACUCGUGGAACUGCCAGCAAAGCUUACAUUUUGAAAGUUGAGUGGAGCAUACCCGUUCACUUGGUCUUGGGAUGAGAGUUGGGAAAAGAUCAAAGUGAGAGAAGACAUUCAGGAAACACAUUUCUUUAACUGCCUGCAGGAGGAAACUUUUCACAACUGGAAAAUGCAAGCCAUUACUGCCAACCCUGGAGCACGGAGACUUUACCUUAUUAAUC